UAGAAGUGCAAUAGCAUAAACUAGUUUUUAGUCUGCAAGAUAAAGACUAAAGUUGAUAUAAAAAAACCAAAUGAAUCGGUAAAUAGUACAUGUAAUUACGACAGUAGUCGAAAUUUAGGUAAUGAAUUUUGAAGAAGAGAUUUUUAUUUCUUUUCUUUUGAUAUGUAAUAAUAGUGAAGAAGAGUUAGGAUUUAAGAACGGACAAUGCCCACUAGCCCUAAUUUUAAGAAUUUUAUUCGCACUAACAAAAUCAGAUUUAAAAAUUCCCAAGUGCCAACUUAAACAACUAAAAGACAAUUAUACCCUUAAUAAAUUAAAUAAACUACGUACAAUAGACCAUUAUAAGAGUCUAUUAUAAAAUAAAGUUUAUAUGACCGGAUUCCCACGACCAAUGACGUUGACCGGGCUCCUGGGGCCGUUGACAGGACUCCGAUGACUGUUGACCUGGCUCCGGCGACAGUUGACCGGACUCCGACGACCGUUGACCAGACUCGUUGACCGGACUCCGACGAAAACUAGCGGGUCUACUGAGGGCAGUAAGAGGUCCACUAGGGGCAGUAGGGGGAUCUACUAGGGGCAGUAGGAGGUUUGUUGGGGUUCUAUUGGAAGCAGUAUUUCCCCUAAUUAAACCAUCUCAUCCAUAAAGGGAGUGGUGUUCAAUAAAAAAAAAAUAGAGACAGAGACUUGUAUUCAAUAAAAAAAAGAAAAAAAGAAGAGUGACGAGUUGUAUUCGACCAAACCAUUCCAAUAAAAUUUGCAGGGAGCCACAUGGCAGCGAAAGAGCGACGAGUACUGGCUCAGGACUCCGAUCCGGUUCACCAUGGAAUUGCAUUUCAAGAAAUGAAGCCAUAACAGAGCAGCCUUUCGACCUUAGCACCUUGCUUGCUUCACCGAACGGGUAAAAGGUUGUCGUUUCCGCCAUCGUCGCCGUCUCGUUAGGGUUUCGCGGUGCCAGGCAGUAGAGAUUCUUACGGCCGUAGCUCGGAAUCGGACACGAGAUCCGGAAAUAAGGGUCGAAGAAGCGGUUGAUGCCAUAGAUGAUCAAAAUGCCGUCGUCGAAGAUUGGGGAAGCCGUGACGGUGACGUUGUUGAGCUAGACGAGGCCGUCGGCAGGGAGAGUGGUGACGGCGAGAGAGUGGCCGUCGAGCAGAGUCCGGAUCUUGGCGACGAAAGGGAUGGAUUUGAGUGUAACACCAUGACCCAGCACUACCAGAAGAAAGGCUUUAGCCGACGAAAAAAAAAAACCAGGCCGACGAAGCAUUUUUUCGUCGGCUAAAGUCCACUUUAGCCGACGAAAUUAUCUUUCGUCAGCUAAGUUAAAUUUUCGUCGGCUAUGGUAAACUUUAGCCGACGAAAAAAAAUUUUCGUCGGCUAAAGAAUUUAUUUCGUCGGCUAAAGUUCACAAACUAUGGCCGACGAAAUAUUUAAAAGUUUAGCCGACGAAAUUAAUAUGUCGUCGGCUAAAGUGCUUUAUAUUUGUGGAUCUGGACAGCAGCAGCUCAUCUGGGAAAAAAAAACGGGAGAAGAAAAAACGGGAGAAAAAGUUGGGUGUUGUCGAAAUCUGUCCAUAAUUAGUUUGUGGAGCCAUAUAUAGGUACGUAUAUGUAUAUAUAUGUUGAUUAAUUGAGUUUUAUUUGAGUUGAUCGAUUUUAAGUGUGAUUGAGUUUAUUGAUUUUGAUUGUGAUUGAGUUGAUUAAUUU
rnacentral:lncRNA from 1 species